ensembl:lncRNA
CAUUAUGUUUGGAUCCGACAGGCUGCUGGAGAAGGACUGGAAUGGAUCAUUUAUAUCAGUGGUGGCAGCAGCUAUAUCCACUACUCUCAGUCAUUCAGAGGCCAAUUUACCAUCUCCAUAGACGACAACAGAAAGCAGGUGUAUCUGCAGAUGAACAGCUUGACGACUGAUUCACCACAUCAAACCAAGCCAUAAUUUGCUUUCAGCUCUUCAGAAAUGAACUGAAUAUUAAUGUCUGACCAUCAGACAGAGUACAGGCAAAGGACUGGAGUGUAUUGGGAGGAAAAGUAGUGGGAGCUCUCACUAUAAAGACUCACUGAAGAUAAAGAUCAUCUUUAGUACCAACAUGUUCUCUGUAGCUCUGCUGCUGCUGCUGGAUCCUGUGUGAAGUGUGAACAGCUGACACAGUCAGCCUCUGUGAUUGUGCAGCCAGGUCCGUGUCUGACCAUCACCUGUCAGGGCUCUUAUUCUCUGGGCAGCUACUGGACAGCUUGGAUCAGACAGCCUGCAGGGAAAGCAUUGGAGUGGAUUGGGAUGAAAGAUACUGGGAGCUCUUACUAUGAAGAUUCCCUAAAG